rnacentral:lncRNA from 1 species
CAGAGCUGGAGGGAAGGGGACAGGAAGGGAUGGGAGUAGGGUAAGAGGGACAUGAGGAUGUCAGAGGGAGAGGAAUGGGGAUAUGGGGUUGGUGGAGCUGGAGGGGACAAGGUCCAGGGCUUGGGGACGUGUGGUGCUGGAGCUGGGAGGCUGGGGAUGGAGAACAUGGGGACAGCAGUAGGGAAGAGGGACACAGGUCACAGAGCACUAAGAGUGGGACAUGGAAGUGAUGGGGCUGGGAGAAUGGGCACAGCAGGGACAAGGGUGGUGGAAUGGGAAUGGGGACAUUCCUGGACAUACAGGAGCAGGGGUGUGGGGACUGCUGUGAUGCCAGUGCAGGUACCCACACGCCUCAGAACUGCCAACUCUGAUCCGGGUGAGCAUCGAGAGUGGGCGCAUGACCCACCACCACCCCACUGGGUACCUUGGAGCACUGGCUGUGGCCCUCUUUGGGGCACUGGGGGCUCGGGGUGAGCCCCCAGAGCGCUGGGGGGCUGAGCUGCUGCGGGUCCUGCCCCUGGCAUGGGACUACGUGCAGGGCACCGGGCUGGCCGUGGAGGACAAUGCUGCUGCCUGGCCGUUCUUUGGGGACGUGUGGCACCGGUAAGGGGGCACUGUGAGGACACUGGGAGCACAAGGAGGGGCUGGGGAGGAUACUGAAAAGGUGACUCAGUCCAUUAGUGCCACUGGUGCCAGCCAGACUCUCUGACAGUCCUGGCAGGGCAUUCCUGCAGUGUCACUGCUGACCCUGAUGCCCAGUCUGUCCCUGCUGCACCCAGUGUACCUCAUGUCACUCCCAGAGGUGCCAUCCUUGGGUACAGUGACCUCUGUGUCCCUGGGGUUCCUGGGGCAUUUAGUGUUCUUGGUGGUGCUGGUAUCCAGUGCCUUGCUACCCCACGGGUUUCCUGAUUGUCCCGUGUCCCUGCAGCUAUCUGGGGUCACAGGGGUGUGACAGUGUUUGCAGGGGUCUUAGAAUGAGGGAAGAGAUAAGAAUGUUGACUCUAUGUCUCAGAAGGCUUGAUUUAUUAUUUUAUGAUAUAUAUUAUAACUAUACUAAAAUAAUAGAAGAAAGGAUUUCAUCAGAAGGCUAGCUAAGAAUAGAAAAAGAAGAUAACAGAGGCUUACGACUGACCGAGACAGUCU